UCCUCUCCUCUUUCCGCCUCCCCCACCUUUUCUCUUCUCCUUCCUCUCUCCUCCACCUCCCACGCUCCUACUUGUCUGCUCCCACUCUCCCCUGUCUCCCUCACGUUCCUCUCCACCACACCUAUCUCUGCACCUCCACACUCCCCUGUUCCCCACGUUCUCUGCCGCCUCCACACGCACCUGUCCCCCACGCCUUCGUCUUCUCUCAUACGCUCCUCUUUUUCUUCAAUACAGAUGAAACCUAUAUAUACAAGGCGAAUGGGAUCACUAUAGGGGGGGGGAUUUUGGAGUUUGGGGAAGGGACUGAGCGUCGUUUUAGAGAAAGAGGGGAUUGUUUGGAGAAAGCGGGGAUUGGGAGUAUUUUGAGGGAUUUUCAAAUUUUUGAAAAAAAAAAGGGAUUCAAGGUUUGGAGGGGUUAUUUUUAGUGUUUAGGGGAUUAAAGAUCGUUUUAGAACGAGGGGAUUUUAGGAGUAAAACCUAACAAAAACAUAUCAAAAACAGACGAAAAUCCCAUAGGGGAGGAAGAUUUUCUCUCAUAACAGUCUUGAGCUCCUCUUCUGGUUUUGAACUUUUUUCAAAUCAAAAAUAUUUUUUGUUAUGAGAUUUGUGUUGAAAAAUUAAGUUUUCACAAUUCGACCAACUUUCGUCGCUGUUCGGCAAAAGGACUUUAAUUACGACAAAGGUAUUUUAGUUUUGAUUCAAGUUUCGAAUCUGUCGAUACGAGAGUAGAUUCGAGGCCUCGAUGCCCCGUUCACUGUACCCAACAAAGGUAUGGAUUUGCAUUGGAAGUACAACAAACGACGAAGAUUAAGGACAUCACAAAUGGAGCUAGGAGUUAGACAUAGAAAAUUGUAUUUACUUUACUUAGACGUAAGAAACACUCCAUGUUGUAUUCAUUUGACAUGUAAUAAAUAUUACACAACUUUUGUACUUUAUUUUGGGGAAAUAGAAUUUGUUUAAUUAAUCAAAGCAACGGGAUGACGUAUUAUGACA